rnacentral:lncRNA from 1 species
AGAAAAGUUUCAUCACAUUUUAUGCUGCAUAAAUCGUUCAAUAGCUCUUUUUAUUUUUUUAACUGUGGAGUUAAUGCUGAGUAGAGUUGUAACAGGCAUUUACCAAGGUACUAUCAAAGGACACAAUCAAAAUAUUGUAAGAAGCCUGGGCCCUGGGAUGACAGGCCUCGCGGAAGCGUAUGUUAGAUAUGCCAGCCCCACUGGUAAGCGCUGGGAUUGUGAAAGAAACACGACACACCUAGCCUGGCCUCACACUGAGAACAGACCAACCAACUUACAAAUACAUGAGCCGUGGUGGAUUGCAAUAAAUGAGCAAAAGUGCUACAAAUAAUCUUCCUCCUUUGAUCCAAACCCAUUGGUAGUGCCUCCCACAGACUCCACACUGGUCUUGCGAC